CCUACGGGUGGCUGCAGUAGGGAAUCUUCCACAAUGGGCUAAAGCCUGAUGGAGCAACGCCGCGUGGGUGAAGAAGGUCUUCGGAUCGUAAAACCCUGUUGUUAGAGAAGAAAGUGCGUGAGAGUAACUCUUCACGUUUCGACGGUAUCUAACCAGAAAGCCACGGCUCACUACGUGCCAGCAGCCGCGGUAAUACGUAGGUGGCAAGCGUUAUCCGGAUUUAUUUGGGGUAAAGGGAACGCAGGCGGUCUUGUAAGGCUGAUGUGAAAGCCUUCGGCCUAAACGGAGUAGUGCAUUGGAAACUGGGAGACUUGAGUGCAGAAGAGGAGUGUGGAAUGCGAGGUGUAGCGGUGAAAUGCGUAGAUAUAUGGAAGAACACCAGUGGCGAAAGCGGCACUCCGGUCUGUAACUGACGCUGAGGUUCGAAAGCGUGGGUAGCAAACAGGAUUAGAUACCCUAGUAGUC
rnacentral:rRNA from 1 species